AUUGAACGCUGGCGGCAGGCCUAACACAUGCAAGUCGAGCGGAUGAAGGGAGCUUGCUCCUGGAUUCAGCGGCGGACGGGUGAGUAAUGCAUAGGAAUCUGCCUGGUAGUGGGGGAUAACGUCCGGAAACGGGCGCUAAUACCGCAUACGUCCUGAGGGAGAAAGUGGGGGAUCUUCGGACCUCACGCUAUCAGAUGAGCCUAGGUCGGAUUAGCUAGUUGGUGGGGUAAAGGCCUACCAAGGCGACGAUCCGUAACUGGUCUGAGAGGAUGAUCAGUCACACUGGAACUGAGACACGGUCCAGACUCCUACGGGAGGCAGCAGUGGGGAAUCUUGGACAAUGGGCGAAAGCCUGAUCCAGCCAUGCCGCGUGUGUGAAGAAGGUCUUCGGAUUGUAAAGCACUUUAAGUUGGGAGGAAGGGCAGUAAGAUAAUACCUUGCUGUUUUGACGUUACCAAAAGAAUAAGCACCGGCUAACUUCGUG
rnacentral:rRNA from 1 species